rnacentral:rRNA from 1 species
AGCAGCCGCGGUAAUUCCAGCUCCAAUAGCGUAUAUUAAAGUUGUUGCAGUUAAAAAGCUCGUAGUUGAAUUUCGAGACCGGCUUACUGGUCGUGCUAUUGUGCGUACUGGUAUAAUCGGUUUCUCCUUUCUGACGAACUAUAAUGCCAUUAAUUUGGUGUUAUAGGGAAUCAGGACUGUUACUUUGAAAAAAUUAGAGUGUUUAAAGCAGGCUCACGCUUGAAUACAUUAGCAUGGAAUAACGGAAUAGGACGUUUGAUUCUAUUUUGUUGGUUUCUAGGAUCGACGUAAUGAUUAAUAGGGAUAGUUGGGGGCAUUAGUAUUCAAUUGUCAGAGGUGAAAUUCUUGGAUUUAUUGAAGACUAACUACUGCGAAAGCAUUUGCCAAGGAUGUUUUCAUUAAUCAAGAACGAAAGUUAGGGGAUCGAAGACGAUCAGAUACCGUCGUAGUCUUAACCAUAAACUAUGCCGACUAGGGAUCGGAUGAUGUUAAUUUUUUAAUGACUCAUUCGGCGCCUUACG